AUCAUGCUACUAGGGCCCCCUGUUGUACUUAGGAAUUGGACCCCUCGAAAAGGUGAAAGGUCUACUUUACAUCUUUUUCAAUGAAAGUACAAGUACUUUGAGAAGUAGGAGAAGCUAAGCAACAGAACAGAAUUCAUUUGAGGCAUUGCUUUCUAGAUUAUAUAGUGGAUUAAUAGAUUGUCAUAUUGAUUUAUGUGCAUAUGAGGAGCAGUAGCCAAUGAAUAAUUUUGUGAUGAGAGAAUUAGCUCCUCAGAUGUAAGUGGAAGGGAAGCU